AAGUCGUAACAAGGUUUCCGUAGGUGAACCUGCGGAAGGAUCAUUAACAAAUUCUCAACACACCUGUUUCCCUUUAGUGGGAUUAGGGGGGAGGUGCAAGCCUUCCCUCUUCUCCCCUAGAGGUGUAUACACACACACACCUUUGAUUGACAAACACCAAUUGAUACAAUAAGUUAAUCGAAAACAACUUUUAACAAUGGAUCUCUUGGCUCUU
rnacentral:misc_RNA from 1 species